GCAACUUGGGGGAAUGUAUAGCUUCGGCUAAUUAUACUUUGGCUGUAUAAUCAAACAUAAAUAAUUCUAAAAGUUAUUUAUGUUUGAUUAUUCAAUUUAUCCGUAAUAGGUUUAUGCUACUAAACAUAGCGUAGUAAAAUUAAUUUGCUACUUUUAUAUUAAGAGAAAUUAUUCUCGUAGACAAGUAUAAGAUCGAUUUUAUCGAGUAAAGUUCUAGAGAAGCAAAAAUUUGAUGAUGACAAAAUGUUUUUCUAUAUGUCUUGACCAAAUUACGUGCCAGCAGUCGCGGUAAUACGUAAAAGACUAGUGUUAUUCAUCUUUAGUAGGUUUAAAGGGUACCUAGACGGUAUAAUUAGUCUUAAAUAAGAAACGAUUAUGCUAGAGUUAUAUAUGAGAAGGGGAGUAUUUAUGGAGUAGAGUUGAAAUUCUUUGAUCCCAUAACGACUGGUAACGGCGAAAGCAACCUUUUAUCUAAUAACUGACGUUGAGGGACGAAGGCUCGGGUCACGAACAGGAUUAGAUACCCUAGUAGUCCAAGCAGAGAAUGAUGAAUGCCAUAGAUUAGAUGUUAAUUUAGUCUAUAAAUGAAAGUGUAAGCAUUUCACCUCAAGAGUAAUGUGGCAACGCAGGAACUGAAAUCAUUAGACCGUUUCUGAAACCAGUAGUGAAGUAUGUUAUUUAAUUCGUAAGUACGCGAAAAACCUUACCACAACUUGAAUAUUAUCUUUAAGAUAUUACAAGCGUUGCACGGCUGUCUUCAGUUAAUGUCGUGAGAUAUUGGUUAAUUCCAUUAAAUUAACGGAAACCCUUGCUUUAUUUGGGUAUAAAGCAGUUCACCUAUACAUGGGAUAUGAUAAUAGGGCCAAGACAAGUCAUCAUGGGCUAA
rnacentral:rRNA from 1 species